CCUACGGGUGGCAGCAGUGGGGAAUUUUGGACAAUGGGCGCAAGCCUGAUCCAGCCAUGCCGCGUGUCUGAAGAAGGCCUUCGGGUUGUAAAGGACUUUUGUCAGGGAAGAAAAGGCUGUUGCUAAUAUCGACAGCUGAUGACGGUACCUGAAGAAUAAGCACCGGCUAACUACGUGCCAGCAGCCGCGGUAAUACGUAGGGUGCGAGCGUUAAUCGGAAUUACUGGGCGUAAAGCGAGCGCAGACGGUUACUUAAGCAGGAUGUGAAAUCCCCGGGCUCAACCUGGGAACUGCGUUCUGAACUGGGUGACUAGAGUGUGUCAGAGGGAGGUAGAAUUCCACGUGUAGCAGUGAAAUGCGUAGAGAUGUGGAGGAAUACCGAUGGCGAAGGCAGCCUCCUGGGAUAACACUGACGUUCAUGUUCGAAAGCGUGGGUAGCAAACAGGAUUAGAUACCCUUGUAGUC
rnacentral:rRNA from 1 species